rnacentral:rRNA from 1 species
UACGUAGGGGGCAAGCGUUGUCCGGAUUUAUUGGGCGUAAAGAGCGUGUAGGCGGCCAUACAGGUCCGUUGUGAAAACUGGAGGCUUAACCUCCAGACGUCGAUGGAAACCGUAUGGCUAGAGUCCGGAAGAGGAGGGUGGAAUUCCUGGUGUAGCGGUGAAAUGCGCAGAUAUCAGGAAGAACACCCGUGGCGAAGGCGGGUCUCUGGGCCGAUACUGACGCUGAGGAGCGAAAGCGUGGGGAGCGAACAGG